UUCACCUUUGUUUAUAGGUAUUUAACGUGAGGAAUUUUAUACUUUUGGAGUGGAGCUAUCAAAUAUAUAUUAUGAGUUUCUAAAACAUCUAUUAUAAGGAGUUGAAGAGAGCUUCCUCUGCCCCAGCAGAUUCUGAGAAAACCAACCAGCAGAGAACAUGAACAAAUAUAGUGACAAGAAAGGGUGGAGCUGAGUACACCACACAUGGAUAUGAUGGUCUCCCCUAUGUUCUUUUUGGCAAUCCACUUAAUCACUGACUCAACUUUGAAUGGGGCGCUUCUGAUGCACAGAUGGUGGCGGUGAAGCAGCAGGCCCGAGAGAGCGUGCAGGGGAGGAAGGAGUUCCUGGUGGAGGUGCUGAUACUGGCGGUGCUCAGCCACCCUAACUUCGUCAGCCUGAUCGGCUUCUGCGCGCAUGGGACAAGCGGCUGCUGUUGUACGAGUACAUGCCCUUCGGCAGCCUGGAGAGUCAUCUCUUUGGUAAUACUUCUCAAAAUUAUUUAGACUUGCUAAUAGAGCAUUCGAUGUUUAGCUUCUGCCAAUCUGUACAUUCUGUUCUUAGAUUUAUUUUCCCUCAAUACCUUGUUUAGUACAAGGAAGGACUGAUAUUAU